AGUUGAAAAACUCCCAAACCACUGUGAACAUACCCGUAACCGUUGCUUCGGCGGGCGGCCCCAGGGAGGGGCCGCAGCCUCCAAUUGCGGAGGCGCCCCGCCGGAGAGCACCAAAACAUACCUAUAUUUUUGUGGCCCUUCUGAGCGAUAGCGCAAAUAAUCAAAACUUUCAACAACGGAUCUCUUGGUUCUGGCAUCGAUGAAGAACGCAGCGAAAUGCGAUAAGUAAUGUGAAUUGCAGACUUCAGUGAAUCAUCGAAUCUUUGAACGCACAUUGCGCCCGCCAGCAUUCUGGCGGGCAUGCCUGUCCGAGCGUCAUUUCAACCCUCAAGCUCUGCUUGGUGUUGGGGCACUACGGUUGACGUAGGCCCUGAAAAUUAGUGGCGGGCUCGCUGUGGGUCCGGGCGUAGUAGCGAUAUCUCGCCUGCGGCCCCCAGCAAGCUCCAGCCGUUAAACCCCCCAAAUUACAGAAGGUUGACCUCGGAUCA
rnacentral:rRNA from 1 species